GGCUUUUGUAUCUGCAUCUACUUGGAUUCCUGCCUCUUUGGGGCCACAUUAAUCAUCUUGGUUUCCAUUAGGGCUCUCUCCUUGGCUUCUUUCCAUGUCUAAUAAAGGUGCUCGUGGAAGCCAGCAGAGGGUGUAGGGUCUCCUGGAGCCACAUCUCUGGAGUUACAUGAAGUUGUGGACCUCUCAACAUGGGUUCUGGGAACUGAACCCAGGUCCUCUGGAAGGACAUCGAGUGCUCUUAACCACUGAGCCAUCUCUGCAGCCUAACCCCAUCCCUUGGAGGCUGAAGCAAAGCAAGUUCAAUGACCGUGCGACCUGGCUCUUGUUUGGGCCUAAGGAAAAGCCGACUGUAAGCCGGGAAGCAUCUCUGGCAAGAACAAGGAAGGAUUAAGCACGUCUGUGGUUGUGCGCAGGGAUCACAAGGUGCUCCUGCAGUGGGAAGAGCCACCACUAGGGGCGCUCCAAGUCUUGUAUUUUCUACCUUGAAAACUCGUUUCCCUGUGGCUGCCCUCCAAAUCCAACGGAGAUGAAUGGCUUUUAGUUUACCUAGCUGAUUUAAUAAACUUUAAAAAUAAAUGUA
rnacentral:lncRNA from 1 species